rnacentral:misc_RNA from 1 species
GGUGGGAGCUGGCUUGCCUGCGAUGACGGUGUCACAUCCAACACGGAUGUGACGGAUACACCGCUAUCGCAGGCAAGCCAGCUCCCACA